rnacentral:SRP_RNA from 1 species
GCUGGAUGUGGUGGCGCGCACCUGUAAUCCAAGCUACUCAGGAAGCUGAGGCAGGAGAAUCGCUUGAACCCGGGAGUUGGAGGUUGCAGUGAGCCAAGAUCGUGCCACUGUACUCCAGCCUGGGCAACAGAGUGAGACUCUGUCUCAA